rnacentral:rRNA from 1 species
AUUCCAGCUCCAAUAGCGUAUAUUAAAGUUGUUGCGGUUAAAAAGCUCGUAGUUGGAUUUCUGUCGAGGAUGGCCGGUCCGCACUUUGUGCGUGCAUCUGGUUCAGCCUUGGCAUCCUCCUGGGGAACGUAUCUGCGCUUAAUUGCGUGGUGCGGUAUCCAGGACUUUUACUUUGAGGAAAUUAGAGUGUUCACGGCAGGCAAACGCCUUGAAUACAUUAGCAUGGAAUAAUAAUAUAGGACCUUGGUCCCAUUUUGUUGGUUUCUGGAACUGAGGUAAUGAUUAAUAGGGAUAAUUGGGGGCAUUCGUAUUAACGUGUCAGAGGUGGAAUUCUUGGAUUACGUUACGACGAACUACUGCGAAAGCAUUUGCCAAGGAUGUUUUCAUUA